rnacentral:misc_RNA from 1 species
AAGUCGUAACAAGGUUUCCGUAGGUGAACCUGCGGAAGGAUCAUUAUUGUAGGGACUCCGGUCCCCUCAAGAUGCAACCCGUGCCUUUUUCGUAGCCCGUAACGUUUCCUCGGCAGCCCCGCUGCCAGCGAGGACCCCCCCCCAAACCAAACCUGCAAUCUCAGUAUAAAAUUCAGAAACCCCCCAAAAUUUAAAACUUUCAACAAUGGAUCUCUUGGCUCUG